UAAGGAAUAUUGGACAAUGGUCGCAAGACUGAUCCAGCCAUGCCGCGUGCAGGAAGACGGCCCUAUGGGUUGUAAACUGCUUUUGUACCAGAGAAAACCUAUCUACGUGUAGAUAGCUGAUAGUAUGGUAAGAAUAAGCAUCGGCUAACUUCGUGCCAGCAGCCGCGGUAAGGCGAAGGCUGCAAGCGUUAUCCGGAUUCAUUGGGUUUAAAGGGUGCGUAGGCGGGCUUGUAAGUCAGUGGUGAAAUCUCUCAGCUUAACUGAGAAACUGCCAUUGAUACUGCAGGCCUAGAGUAUAGAUGACGUUGGCGGAAUAUGACAUGUAGUGGUGAAAUACUUAGAUAUGUCAUAGAACACCGAUUGCGAAGGCAGCUAACGAAACUAUAACUGACGCUGAGGCACGAAAGUGCGGGGAUCAAACA
rnacentral:rRNA from 1 species